UACGAAGGGGGCUAGCGUUGCUCGGAAUCACUGGGCGUAAAGGGCGCGUAGGCGGCCAUUCAAGUCGGAGGUGAAAGCCCAGGGCUCAACCCUGGAACUGCCUUCGAUACUGUUUGGCUAGAGACCGGAAGAGGUAAGUGGAACUGCGAGUGUAGAGGUGAAAUUCGUAGAUAUUCGCAAGAACACCAGUGGCGAAGGCGGCUUACUGGUCCGGUUCUGACGCUGAGGCGCGAAAGCGUGGGGAGCAAACAGG
rnacentral:rRNA from 1 species